UUUUUUUUUCAAUUUU
rnacentral:sRNA from 1 species